AGUGAACGCUGGCGGUAGGCCUAACACAUGCAAGUCGAACGGCAGCACAGUAAGAGCUUGCUCUUACGGGUGGCGAGUGGCGGACGGGUGAGGAAUACAUCGGAAUCUACUUUUUCGUGGGGGAUAACGUAGGGAAACUUACGCUAAUACCGCAUACGACCUACGGGUGAAAGCAGGGGAUCUUCGGACCUUGCGCGAUUGAAUGAGCCGAUGUCGGAUUAGCUAGUUGGCGGGGUAAAGGCCCACCAAGGCGACGAUCCGUAGCUGGUCUGAGAGGAUGAUCAGCCACACUGGAACUGAGACACGGUCCAGACUACUACGGGAGGCAGCAGUGGGGAAUAUGGGACAAUGGGCGCAAGCCUGAUCCAGCCAUACCGCGUGGGUGAAGAAGGCCUUCGGGUUGUAAAGCCCUUUUGUUGGGAAAGAAAAGCAGCAGGUUAAUACCCCGCUGUUCUGACGGUACCCAAAGAAUAAGCACCGGCUAACUUCGUG
rnacentral:rRNA from 1 species